AUAUGAUUUAUUAAAGUGGACGGGGGUCUUCUCGGUAAGUGUGGUGGAAAAUGAUGACUCUCUCUGUAUUCAGGAGUAGGAAUGUUUAGUCUUGUGUUUGUUUCACUCUCACUGGUUGUGUGGUUAAUGGACUGAUUGUCAUCUUUGACUUUUGAGAGGUAAAAAAAAAACCUCACUAUUUCCUCUCCCCGCUCUGUAACCACGGUGACAGACUUCUAUGGGGACCGGAUAAGGUUGAGGGAAGAGAGAGGGGCUUAUAAUAACACAGAAGAAGGGCUCAAAAAUGAAAUUAAUGUGAUCCUUCGAUCUCAGAGUGAUCGAUACGCUUGAUACUUGCCAACUGAAGGCGAGGUUUGACUCUGAAGAUGCAAUUCAGAUUGAUUUUAAGUGCUCUUUUUUUUUUCGUUGCAUGGAUGAACUUGGUCCAAGCAAACAGUGAAUCUGUAAAUGACUGCCCAUGUGUUUCGGUGUCCAGUAUAAAUAUCCCUCGUACUAAGAUUAAGGAAUACACCAUUCAGAAGGAACCUGUCUGUCCCUUUAAUCUAGUUGUAUUUCGGACAGUGGGUGGAAGGAUAAUUUGUGCCGACCCCAACAGCAAGUGGGCAAAGUAUAUUAUCCGGAAGUUGGAGGCAAAGACAACAAUUCAACACUUCAGCCAAUAACAAAAUGUCCAAACCAGUGGGACUACACCAUCGGCAUCCAUGAAGUUGUGGAGAACCAUCACAACAGCACACAAACCUGAAAACGAUAGCAAAUAAAGCAAGGCUAGAAGAGUAAUCAAGGAGUAAAAACAUGAUGUAAUCAAAGUGUCUUUUAUCAGUCUAUUCUAUUCUAUUUAUUUGGAUAUUUAAUAUUUUAAUGCAGUGCUUUUCAGCCUGUUCAAAUCAUGAGCCUAACUGAAUAAUUGGAUGAUUGGUCCAGGCUCUUGCUACUCACAGAUGCAUAUAGUAAUUAUUUGAUAAUCAGAAAACACUGAAAACAAUGCCACUUCAAAUAAAUUAGAAAAUAAACAAAUAAUGUUGAGCACAAAACAUUUGUCUCUUCAGUAUUUGAUAUGUUAUAAAACCUCUUAUUCAAUUCCCACUUGGCGUCCAAGUGAUUGGGUUGCAAGUCAUUCCUUCAAUGAUGAAAGAAGCACAAUAAUCAAAACCAUAUAUGGUAAAUCUGCAAUAUAUCCUAAUAAAGCUUGGUAGUGCUGAUAAUGUAUUACUGUUAGCUAUUAAUCUGGUGUGCAAAUAAAUAAUUUAUUGAACAAA